rnacentral:rRNA from 1 species
AGAACGAACGCUGGCGGCAGGCUUAACACAUGCAAGUCGAACGCGUGUAGCAAUACACGAGUGGCGCACGGGUGAGUAACGCGUGGAUAUCUGCCUUUUGGUUCGGAAUAACCCCGGGAAACUGGGGCUAAUACCGGAUGGUUCCUACGGGAUAAAGAUUUAUCGCCAAAAGAUGAGUCCGCGUACGAUUAGCUAGUUGGUGAGGUAAUGGCUCACCAAGGCGACGAUCGUUAGCUGGUCUGAGAGGACGAUCAGCCACACUGGGACUGAGACACGGCCCAGACUCCUACGGGAGGCAGCAGUGGGGAAUAUUGGACAAUGGGGGCAACCCUGAUCCAGCCAUGCCGCGUGAGUGAUGAAGGCCUUCGGGUUGUAAAGCUCUUUUGGCGGGACGAUGAUGACGGUACCGCAGAAUAAGCCCCGGCUAACUACGUGCCAGCAGCCGC